rnacentral:rRNA from 1 species
UACGUAGGGCGCAAGCGUUAUCCGGAAUUAUUGGGCGUAAAGAGCUCGUAGGCGGUUUGUCGCGUCUGCCGUGAAAGUCCGGGGCUCAACUCCGGAUCUGCGGUGGUACGGGCAGACUAGAGUGAUGUAGGGGAGACUGGAAUUCCUGGUGUAGCGGUGAAAUGCGCAGAUAUCAGGAGGAACACCGAUGGCGAAGGCAGGUCUCUGGGCAUUAACUGACGCUGAGGAGCGAAAGCAUGGGGAGCGAACAGGAUUAGAACCAGUACG